AUUGAACGCUGGCGGCAGGCCUAACACAUGCAAGUCGAGCGAGCGGCGGACGGGUGAGUAAUGUAUGGGGACUGCCCGAUAGAGGGGGAUAACUACUGGAAACGGUAGCUAAUACCGCAUACUAUCGGAUAACCCAUAUGGUAUUAGCUAGUAGGUGAGGUAAUGGCGUACCUAGGCGACGAUCCCUAGCUGGUCUUAGAGGAUGAUCCGCCACACUGUGACUGAGACACGGCCCAGACUCCUACGGAGGAAGCAGUGGGGAAUAUUGCACAAUGGGCUCAAGCCUGAUGCAGCCACGCCGCGUGUAUGAAGAAGGCCCUAGGAUUGUAAAGUACUUUCAGUCGGGAGGCGGUACCUACAUAAGAAGCCCCGGCUAACUCCGUGCCAGCAGCCGCGGUAAUUC
rnacentral:rRNA from 1 species